AGCGAACGGAACUCUUCGGAGGGAAGUUCGUGGAACGAGCGGCGGACGGGUGAGUAACACGUAGGCAACCUGCCUGUAAGACUGGGAUAACUCGCGGAAACGCGAGCUAAUACCGGAUAACACUUUCUAUCACCUGAUGGAAAGUUGAAAGGCGGCUUUUGCUGUCACUUACAGAUGGGCCUGCGGCGCAUUAGCUAGUUGGUGAGGUAACGGCUCACCAAGGCGACGAUGCGUAGCCGACCUGAGAGGGUGAUCGGCCACACUGGGACUGAGACACGGCCCAGACUCCUACGGGAGGCAGCAGUAGGGAAUCUUCCGCAAUGGACGAAAGUCUGACGGAGCAACGCCGCGUGAGUGAUGAAGGUUUUCGGAUCGUAAAACUCUGUUGUCAGGGAAGAACAAGUACGAUAGUAACUGAUCGUACCUUGACGGUACCUGACCAGAAAGCCACGGCUAACUACGUGCCAGCAGCCGCGGUAAUACGUAGGUGGCAAGCGUUGUCCGGAAUUAUUGGGCGUAAAGCGCUCGCAGGCGGUUCUUUAAGUCUGAUGUGAAAUCUUGCGGCUCAACCGCAAACGUGCAUUGGAAACUGGAGGACUUGAGUGCAGAAGAGGAGAGUGGAAUUCCACGUGUAGCGGUGAAAUGCGUAGAGAUGUGGAGGAACACCAGUGG
rnacentral:rRNA from 1 species